UAGAGUUUGAUCAUGGCUCAGGAUGAACGCUGGCGGUGCGCCUAACACAUGCAAGUCGAACGAAGGAUUGUGAAGGAACUUUACGGAGGGAAAACACAAUGACUGAGUGGCGGACGGGUGAGUAACGCGUAGGGAACCUGGCCCUUACAGGGGGAUAACAGAUGGAAACAACUGCUAAUACCGCAUAAGCGCCCAGCCUCGCAUGAGGCAGAGUGAAAAACUAAGGUGGUAAGGGAUGGCCCUGCGUCCGAUUAGCUAGUUGGUAUGGUAACGGCAUACCAAGGCGACGAUCGGUAGCCGGCCUGAGAGGGUGGACGGCCACAUUGGGACUGAGACACGGCCCAAACUCCUACGGGAGGCAGCAGUGGGGGAUAUUGCACAAUGGGGGAAACCCUGAUGCAGCGACACCGCGUGGGUGAAGAAGCGCUUCGGCGUGUAAAGCCCUAUCAGUGGGGAAGAAAAAGGACGGUACCCAAAGAAGAAGCACCGGCUAAAUACGUGCCAGCAGCCGCGGUAAUACGUAUGGUGCAAGCGUUAUCCGGAAUGACUGGGUGUAAAGGGAGCGUAGACGGUUGUACAAGUCUGAUGUGAAAGCCCACGGCUCAACUGUGGGAGUGCAUUGGAAACUGUAGAACUAGAGUAUCGGAGAGGCAAGUGGAAUUCCUAGUGUAGCGGUGAAAUGCGUAGAUAUUAGGAGGAACACCAGUGGCGAAGGCGGCUUGCUGGACGAAAACUGACGUUGAGGCUCGAAAGCGUGGGGAGCAAACAGGAUUAGAUACCCUGGUAGUCCACGCAGUAAACGAUGAAUGCUGGUUGUCCGGGUCGAAUGAGAUCUGGGCGGCGAAGCGAAAGCGAUAAGCAUUCCACCUGGGGAGUACGCCGGCAACGGUGAAACUCAAAGGAAUUGACGGGGGCCCGCACAAGCGGAGGAACAUGUGGUUUAAUUCGAUGAUACGCGAGGAACCUUACCCGGGCUCAAACGGGAGUGGAAUGGACCAGAGACGGUUCAGCCUACGGGCCGCUUCCGAGGUGCUGCAUGGUUGUCGUCAGCUCGUGCCGUGAGGUGUCGGCUUAAGUGCCAUAACGAGCGCAACCCCCGCCGGCAGUUGCUAACGGGCAAUGCCGAGGACUCUGCCGGGACUGCCGCCGCAAGGCGAGAGGAAGGCGGGGAUGACGUCAAAUCAGCACGGCCCUUACGUCCGGGGCGACACACGUGUUACAAUGGGCGGUACAGCGGGAAGCCAGGCGGCGACGCCGAGCGGAACCCGAAAGCCGUUCUCAGUUCGGAUCGGAGUCUGCAACCCGACUCCGUGAAGCUGGAUUCGCUAGUAAUCGCGCAUCAGCCAUGGCGCGGUGAAUACGUUCCCGGGCCUUGUACACACCGCCCGUCAAGCCAUGGGAGCCGGGGGUGCUUGAAGUGCGUCGCCGCGAGGCGCGCCCUAGAGCAAAACCGGUGACUGGGGCUAAGUCGUAACAAGGUAACCGUAA
rnacentral:rRNA from 1 species